GAUGAAUGCUGGCGGCGUGCCUAACACAUGCAAGUCGAGCGGCAGCGCGGGUAGUUUACUACCUGGCGGUGAGCGGCGGACGGCUGAGUAACGCGUGGGAACGUACCCCAAAGUGAGGAAUAACUGCCCGAAAGGGUGGCUAAUGCCGCAUAUGCUCUUCGGAGUAAAGCUUUAUGCGCUUUGGGAGCGGCCCGCGUCGGAUUAGGUUGUUGGUGAGGUAAUGGCUCACCAAGCCGACGAUCCGUAGCUGGUCUUAGAGGAUGAUCAGCCAGACUGGAACUGAGACACGGUCCAGACUCCUACGGGAGGCAGCAGUGAGGAAUCUUCCACAAUGGGCGAAAGCCUGAUGGAGCAACGCCGCGUGCAGGAUGAAGGCCUUCGGGUUGUAAACUGCUUUUAUAAGUGAAGAAUAUGACGGUAACUUAUGAAUAAGCACCGGCUAACUACGUGCCAGCCGCCGCCGUA
rnacentral:rRNA from 1 species